CAUAGAUGGCUGUCCGAUCACUCAACUCUAAGAAAAAAGCAAAAUGCAAUGAACUGAAAUGCGAGAAAAAUGAACUUUCUUGAUGAAUAUCUAUAGUUUAUGUUGUGAAAGAGGUUAACUGUUCUUGUAUAUAUUUUGUGUUCCUACAAAUGUUACGCAUACUGUUUUAUAGGAAAAGUAAUGGUCAUUUGUAGCUGCUUCGAAGUAGUAGAGCAAUGGCGAAGCGAAAGAAGGCAGCGACAAAGCCCGUGGCGACGAGGCGGACGACUCGACGCGGGAAACAGACUGGCGGCGCCUCGGCCAUUGCGGAAGGCGAGGCAUCGGCGCCACCGCCUGUCGACACCACCGCCGAGCCCAGCGACCCGCCCCCUGCAGCCACUAUAGAACAAAUUGCUUCUAAGAAUGAUGAGACCACCGUACCAGAACCCCAAACAUCUGAAACAUCCGAAACUCCCAUCUCAAAGCCUAAUCAAGUACCGUUUGUGUCAUUGCACAAGAAAUUUGGCAAGUACCGGUGUCUGUUCACAAAUGAUGACACAUUUACUAGAAAGUAUGAUGUUGGCAGUGAUAGUGAGACAAAUAGUAGUGUAGAAAUAAGGAUUGUUGAUCCGUGCGCUAGUUCAGAAUCAGAUUCCAAUGCAGCAUUGGACACACAGUCUGACACUAAUAGUGGUGCGUGUCCCAGCCCAAUGAAUAAUGCAACAAAUGCUACAGAGAGGUCUAGAGAUGUGUCUCCUGUGGUAAUGUUAGAUAAUGUACAGGAAAGUAAACAAUGUGUAACAAAUGAUGUUAAUACAAUCAACAGCAGAGAAGUAGAGUCUCCAUCUAUAUUAGAUGAUCCAGUACCAUAUGAGGAGCAUGUUGAGGAACCUAAAACUGAGUCUCAACCGGAAUCUGCUGCUAACAAACAAACAAAUGCUGAAAUUGAGCUCAGUGCUGCUGUCCCUGAGUAUGUUGAAGAAACUUUAAUCACUCAUGACAUUCCAUUGGAUGAUAUGCAAAUAGAAUAUGCUGUUGAUGAUGAUGAAGUUAUUACGGUUGUCCAAAUUGUUGAGGAUGACAAUCCAGAGCUUUACUAUGACAUCAAAAUUGAUAGCCCUAAAGCAGAGAAUAAUGAAGAAUCUAAUAAACCAGAUCCUGAUUUCCAGAAACAUUUUGAAAAUUUAAAAUUGGUUACUACGGAAUCUGAGUCCCCAUUGGAUUGUAACGAAACAAGUGAUAAUAGAACAGGUUUACUUACUUGUGUCCCUGAGGAAAGCUUUUCCAAGGGCAUUGUGAAUGAAAUGCUAACUCGUCCAGAUCCUAGUCUAACACCAAGCUCAACACUAUCUGAUGACAGCAAUUCAUCACGGGUUACAGAUCAAGUUCAAAACUCUAAUGACUCAGCUGAAUCUUCACCCACUGGUGUUAGAAGAUCAAGCCGCAUUAAAACCAUAAGCAACAUGAAACAAAAGACUAAAGGGUAUGGGUUAGUAAAAACUCCAUUAAAAAAGGCAUUGAUAACGCAAACCAAGUUGAAAUUGGAAGAAACAAGUUCAGACAGUCAAGAUAAGCCCGAAUUGGCGCCAAAUAAUGCGCCGAGUUCACCCUUUCCUGUGCCCUCAGAAAUGCCCGUAAAAGUGAAAUCCAGAUGGCGUCGGUCAAGCGAGUUGGAGAUGGGCGCCAAUUCACCAGCCAAUUCGCCACUCGCGAGUCCAAGUUUGCCUCAACGUUUGCCAACAGUGGCAGAAGCUGAAGUCAACAAUGCUCCAGAAGAAGAUACCCCAUCCAAACCCUUAAGCAAAGAGGCAUAUGAUAAAAUAAUUCAAGAAAGAAUGGACCAGUACCAGCAUUUAGAUGAGAAUGAAUACCUGUGUGAUCGGAUGAUCAGUAGGGAGACUAAGAAGAUGAUUUGUGACUGCUUUUUGACCAAAGAGGAGUUGGAACGUGGGGAACUGGCUUGUGGAGAGGACUGUCUCAAUAGAUUGCUUAUGAUUGAAUGUAACUCCAGAUGUCCAGUUGGUGAUAGGUGUACAAACAGAAGAUUCCAGAAGAUGGAAAAUGCUGCUUUGAAGGUGUUCUAUGCUGAUAAGAAAGGUUGCGGUGUGGAAGCCUCAGUUGACAUUCCUAUGGGUGAAUUCUUAAUGGAAUACGUCGGCGAAGUGCUCGACUACGAGCAGUUCUACAAACGGGCGCAGGCCUAUUCCGAAGAGAACAACAUGCACCACUAUUUCAUGUCGCUAAAGGGCGACACCGUAAUCGACGCUACAGUAAAAGGCAAUAUUUCACGUUUCAUCAACCAUUCCUGUGAGCCGAACGCCGAGACCCAGAAAUGGACAGUGAACGGCGAACUGAGAAUAGGGUUCUUCAGCAAGCGAGAUAUUGUCGCCGGCGAGGAGAUAACGUUCGACUAUCAAUUCCAACGGUUCGGAAAGGUGGCGCAGCGCUGUUAUUGCGGUGCGGAGGCGUGCCGCGGCUGGAUCGGCGGCGAACCUGACUCCGAUGACGAUGAUGAUGAUGAGCAUUGUAUGUUUAUUCAGGAGGAGGAAGACGUGUCGACGUCGAAGGACUUGGCCGGUUCCACCGAGGAGUCGCAGGCCUUGCUGGCGGAGCAGCCGCGCCCGAGACCGCGCAAGGCCAAGCCGCGCAAGUACAAACCUAAAGCGCCCGACCUAGUGCAGGACGCUGAUAUCGAGGAAGAUCUAGAAGCUCUAAGCCGCACCGGGGUGAAGAACCAGUCGCACACAUUGCGCCUGUCGCGUACGGUGGUCCGCGCGAAGGGCCGGCCGGCGCAGCUGUCCCUGCUGCGGCUCCUGCGCGACGCGGACCUGCCGUGCCGCCGCCUGUUCCUGGACUACCGCGGCCUGCGACUCCUCGCGCCGUGGUGUGCCGACGCGCCGCUCGACUUCAGGUUGGAGAUGCUGCUAACAGUGGACCGUCUUCCGAUCCCGAACAAGACGAUGGUGCAAGAGAGUCGUUUCUUCAACAUCGUAGAGCGUUGGCUUAGCGCGGCCGACGUGCCCGUGGACAACGUGUACAUUGACGAAGCCACAGGUUUACCAAUAGAUCUGCCUAACAGACCAAAUCAGGAAAACGCACUGAGUCCAGAGAAAAUCAAGGAGAACGCCAUCAUGUCGGAAAAAGUUAAAGAUCUCUCCAACCAACUGCUGGAGCGGUGGUCCAGUUUGAAGGAAGUUUUCAAAAUUCCAAAGAAAGAACGCAUACAACAAAUGAAAGAACAUGAGAGGCAGGCGAACGUUGAACGUCGCGCUGCAGACUCAAGCGGAACUCGAGAUCGAGAUAGGGAACGGGACCGCGAUCGCCGGGAAGAUCGGGAGCGUGACCGGGAAAAGGAGAGGGAGAGAGAGCGCGAACGGGAACGAGAAAGAGAACGGGAUCGAGACCGUGAACGGGACAAGGACCGCGAGAGGUAUAGAGAACGUGACCGCGAGCGAGACAGAGACAGGGAUAGAGACGACCGCGACAGGAGGAAAAGAAGGACCAGUCCUGAGGGCAGGAGAAGCAUUAGACUGAGCGAGCGCGUGCUGGCGCCGGUGCCGCCCAUGAGCAAGGAGGAGCGGCGGCGCGCGUUCGCCGAGGCCGCCGCCGCCGCCGAGCGCGCGCGCCGCCUGCCGCGCUGGCGCAGCGACUACGCGCAGAUGUUUCCUGGCGGUAUGAUGGGCGGUCCCGGCGUGCAGCCUGGCAUGAUGGGAGGCUGCGUGCCCGGAGUGCCCGGAGUUCCGGGUGUACCAGGGGUCCCUGGCGUGCCGGGCGUGCCAGGAGUCGGUGAGGUGCCCGACUGGAUAACGCAAGAGUAUCCGCCUCAAUCCGGCUACUUCCCGCCGUUCCCCGGAGCCCAACAGUAUUGCAUGCCGCAGCACAAUAUGAUGAGUAUGAGCGGGUUCGGCAUGGGCGGGUUCAUGUUCGGUCCGGGGGCCCUGGCGGGCGCGCUGCCCCCCACCCCCGGGCCGGCCCCCGCGCCGGGCGUGGCGUCUGCCCCGGCGCCCUCGCCUUUUGGCCACCAUGGACCGUUACCGCCAGAACCAGAGGCGUUGAGCGUGUCGCUGUCAGCGAGUGCGGCGAGUGUGGGCGGUGCAGCGAGCGUGCGGCUGCCGUCGCAGUGGCGCAGCGCGAAGGACGCGCGCGGCCGCACCUACUACUACCACGUCAAGCUGCGCCAGCCGCAGUGGGCGCCGCCGCCGCCGCCCGAUGAGAGUUCGUCAGAAGAGGAAGACGAUCAAGAUAACGCCUUGGACAGUCCUAUAGUGAGAAGACAUGUAAAAGGGAAGCUUGUGGAAGGCGUAAACGGGAUAUACGAAGUGAUAAAAGAAGACACGCAUAACGGUUUGAUACCGGACCACGCGCUUCUUAACAUGAGGCCGAGAAAACGAAGAGUUGGUUUGGUCUCAGAAAGGCCUAUAAGCCCUAGAACAGAGGAGGAUAAACUGGCGGGCAGGUUAGAAGUGAAACGGUAUAAACAGACAAAGGAGAAGUUGCGAAGAAGACGGGAGAGGUUGAUGCAGAAGGUGCGCCUGCUCUCGGGCAAGUUGAAAGUGAAGGCUGGACCACAAGACAAGCUCGCGGUGUUGGAGCUGACCGAGACGGACAGCGACACCGACUCGGAGGGCUCGGACGAGGGAGACAAGGCCGCGGAGCUGUCACCCAGCGCGUCACCCCCGAGCGCGGCGCCGUCGCCCGCGCCGGUGAUCGCCGGCGCCGUGAGCGAGCGCGACAGCCGCCGCAUCAAGGAGCAGUUCCGCAGCGCCAUGGCCGGCGUCAUGGUGCACCACCUCAACCCCUACCGGCACUCCGACGCGCCGGCCGGCAGGAUCACCUGCACCGCUGACUUCAAACACCUGGCUAGAAAGUUAACUCACUUCGUGAUGCUGAAGGAGCUGAAGCACUGUAGAUCAGUGGACGAGUUGGUGGUGACGGACUCUGUACGUGCGAAGGCGCGGACGUUCGUCAAGAAGUAUAUGGCUAAGUUCGGACCCGUGUACAAACGCCCGCCCGAGGAGAUCGACUAGCCGAAACUCUCGCGGCUGCUUUACGCGAUUGUGUGAUGAUAGUUGGGGUUUUGUGUUCACUGUCGUAUCCAAUGUGACGUCACAAGUGUCAUGUGAGAUGUUUGUAACUAAGUUCAGACGCGAACGCCUAAGGAAGCUGAAUAGACGCGGUAUACGAUCCUGUCUAUAGAUAUGUUCAUUGUGUGUUUGAGUUUCAUAUGUCGUAUGUUUCACGUCAUUUAACUGAUCAUUUCCAUUUUGCACAAGUCUACAAUCAGUAAGAUACUAAAGAAAAAAAAACUUAUAUUCAAAAACAAAUCAACAAAAGCUUAUUUUGUUCUCUUAUGGUAUACAGAUUUUAGGUCUGAAGUUGGCUUCGAGACGCGUCACAAUUGGUAGUUUAUGAUAGAGAGCGUGGAUGGCAUGUUUAAAUCUAACUAACUUCAAGCUGGUUAUAAGCUACAUUUAUAAUUGGGUAUUUAGACAGUGAAUGCGUUAAGGCAUGUACGGUUCAGUAGAAAGGCUUGGGCGUUGUGUAUGCAGUGCGCGAUAUUAUAAAUAAUAGCAGUUGUAAAAACUUUUGUUAAUGCGAGUAAAUAGCUGUCAAUGCACCAUUGACCGACAAUUUGUUAUAUGCAAAAUGCGCAGAACUUUCAAUCUAUCAUUUGAAACACAUUAGAUUUUUAAAGUGUUGUGGGUGAAUAUGUGAAUUGAGCAUUAGGUAACUCACUUGCAAACUUGUGAUGUGAUUUGUAUUAUUACAAAUUAUGAAAUAUAAAAAGUAAAUUUUUACUUAUUAAAAUUUUCUUAGUUAUUUUUUUGUAAGUCUAAAAUGUUAUUUAAAGGAAGCAAUAUUAUUAUCAAAAACGUUAUGUAACAAAUUGUCAGCAUAAAAGUGUUAAGAUCCCUAAUCACACAUUACAAGAUAAUAUAGUAAGACGAACUUUUAUUUGUAAGAAAAUGUCGAUGUAUUAGCGUAAUUGUAAUUGUAACUGGAAUUAUUAGUACACAAAUGUAGGGUUAGUUCAGACUACAUCGGGUAGUCGAUUCAUAGGAGUUCUGGGGGAUGUUAGAAACGCGACGUCAACACGACGUUGUCUUGUCGAUGUAUCGCGGGAAUAUCAAUGAAAUAGUUUAUAUUUAAGGCCAAGAGUAUAGGCAAUAAAACCUACAAGACGCUACGUUAUAGGGAUUCUAGUUUAACUAGUAUAGCAUCAAGUUACAGUCACAGGUAUUCGUUGAUUUACUGCUAUUUUCAAUAAACGAUCCGUUUCAAGAGAAUGUGGUCUUAAAAAGUGUUUUGUGAUGAUGAGCAAUAAACUUUACGUCGCAUAGUUAGGUAAUUGUAGUACAUAUUGGACUAUCGUUUAUGCUUGGUACUGAUCGGAUCAGGCACCGCCCGGUCGGUCUCUACUAUAAUAUAAAGCUAAAGAGUUUGUUUGUUUGAACGCGCAAAUCUCAGGAAGUACUGGUUCGAACUGAAAAAUAUUUUAGUGUUGGAUAGCCUAUUUAUCGAGGAAGGAAGGAAUAACAUCACGCUGUGAUCAAUAAAAGCGGAGUAUCAAUGAAAAAUGUUGCAAAAAUGGUGAAAAUGUAUUUAUUUUGGGAGCCUUCGUUGCGUACAAAGUGUGCAGCACAAAGUCCCCGGACUUGUUUGUCUGUUUGAAUGUAAUAAACUGAAAAACUAUCGAACGGAUUGCGAUGAAAUUAAGUAUGGAGAUAGUUUGAGACCCUGGGACGGACAUUAGCUACUUUCUGUCCCGGGAAUAUAUAGCUGGACUUUAUUGCCGGAAAACUUUAUCACGGAUUUUUUUUAACGCGGGCGGAGCCGCGACGCGGAUCUAGUCCGUUCAACACGAGCAAAACCACGUUCAUAUGUACGUUUGUAAGCUUUAUUGUCUAUGGCCAAAAGACCAUGUUUCUAACGUCCCCUGGAAAGUGUCAAGAUUUUUCUAUCGUACCGUUAAAUUUCGAUAGAUUAGUGAUAGUGUUCGUGUGCGCUGUCCGUGUGUUUAUAGAGAGUUUUAAUGUUUUUAACGUAAUGUAAAUAUAUCCAUAGACAAUGUGUGAGUUUGCUAUACAUGUACGAUUAUGACGGAAUAUUUUUAUUUUGUUUAUUUUAAUGACGUAGUAUUGUAGGUAUUUUUUAUAAAUGGAUACGUUUCGUUUACGGACACUCGGAAGUGUAUAGGGAAGUUGCAAAUCGAUAAAAUGUCAACUGACGUCGCAAAGUGGGACAAUAUUUAAGGGAAAUAUUGUGUUUAGUUGUGGUUUCGUCCGAACAAAGGUUCAAAGGUUUGAGUUUUCAAUGUAUUGAAUGUCCAGUUCUAACUAUAUCCUACAUGGUCGAUUAUUAGUCGGAUUUAACGUGGGAAAGGCAAAUGUAGUGCUUCGAUAGUUUAUAAAAUGCUCAUAUUUAAAAACGAAUAAGUCACGACUUGCGAUAAUAUGAUGAGAUACUAACAAUAUGCGGUAUUCGAUUUGACCAUUCUGAAGUGAGUAGCAAACUGUAUUUAUUGACUAACGAGUGACAGGGACGUACAGAGUGGUUAGUGACUAACUUCAUUAGACUAAAUUUAAUUGUUACAACUCAAACAAUAUGGGCCUUCUAUAUACUGUCCUAGCACUGUGAAAUUAUCAAAACUGCUCAUUUGCUGUUUUGUAAAGUGUAUGAAUUCUAAGAGAUAUAUAGAUAUAUUAAUAUGACGCGAUAUUUGUUGCGAUGGAGAUUUUUUAGAGGUUACGCAGGGCACAAUUGUGAUUAAUGUGGGCUGAAAUCAUUUGCUUAGGGUCUAACGGCGACAAAAAGUAAAUUUGCUCUGGGCAACUUUAGCCUUAUCUCCAUUAUUUAUCAAAGCAACCACAAACAAAUCAAAUAUUUUGCUGCACUUUUUUAUGUCAGUCAUUCGGCUGGUAAUGAAAACGAAACAAAAAAAUAUUUACCCUAAAUUAAUUGACAAAUGUGCUCUGUUGUGAAUUAAACUUUACAACCACAAGUUGCAAUGAUCUCUACAGCUCGCGAUUUUUUGUACCACCCAUUUUUAAUGUAAGACGCGAUCGAAAUUCGCAACUCGAAUACGAAUCUAAUUAAGUUGAAUGUUUCUAAUAUAUGUGCAGUAUUAAAAUAUGUUUUUUUUUUAAGUACUGACGAAGUGUGCUUUUAUAGAGCAUCUUAAAUUUUUGGAUGAAUAAAAAUGCAAUUAAUCGCUGUAAAUGGCUUAUAAAUAGUUGGCAGUUACAGUAAUUUAAAUAUAUUUUUCUCUAUGACUGUGUUGUAUUGUUUGCUAUUGUCUAUAGUCCAUGUAGUUUUUCAGAUCAGCGCUGUGUGCAUUUGUUUCGUUUCAUGAUGUAUUGUCUCUCGUAUUUGUACAGUGUCCUAAAUAUUUGAAGCCAUAUGAAAUUAUGAAUGAAUAUUGUACGUGCAAUAAACUAAAAGAGCGACCAGGGCCGAAUCGGAAUAGAUUCGAGUAGGUUACAUUUAAUUAUUCGAAUAAAUGUUAAUAUAUCGAGCACUGACCUCGUAGUUGUAAAUUCAAGUAGGUAAGAAUUCGGCUAAUUUCGGUAAUUCGCGUUAAAUUAUAGAUUCGCUCCUGGUGGCCAUGAACGAUUUUUACAUUUCGUAGUAUCGGUCUAAUGUAUGUAGUUUAAUACUUUAGAGUGUUGAGCUGUUAGUGUACUUGCGUAGAAGCCUCAAGUGUUCGAGCUAAGCGAAAUGGAUGAUCUCUUCAAAUUCAAAACUUCGGAUUAUCAAGCUUCUAUAUUAAAUUGUAUUUUGUUCUGACUUACGACAGACCUGAUACGUAAAAAAAUAUAUCUAUAAUAAAUACAAUUUAGAAAUCAUAUUAAAUAAAUAAUAUUGGUAGUGGAGGAUAUUCUUGAUUCUGUCUGUAUGUCUAAAGUAUUUUGUUUCUUUCCUAUUAUAUUUAACCUCUUCCAUGCGAGACUGCAUGAUCACAACGAAUAAAAAAUUGUACAGACAUGCGUUGUGUGUAAACUCUUUUUUAAUAAUUCACAGACAAUAUAGCUAUAAAACCUGGCGAAAAUUAUUUUAUGUAAACACUCUAACGUCCCUAAAAGGUGGUAUAAGGAUAAUACAUAAUGAUUGUGAGUGGUCGAGAAACCAAAGUGUAAGGUGUUGUACGUGUUGGUUGAUCCACCAAUCACAAUCAAACGAUACGGACGUUCGUGUCGUUUUUCAUAACACAGUGUAGGGAGCAGUACGCAUUGAAAGGGUUAUUCUCUGCUCAAAUCUUACUCUACAAAUUAUAAAAAACAUCGCAAAGACAAAAAAAUUGCAUGGAAUAUCAAGUGUACACGAGAUCAUUUAGUACGAUUAUGUUAUUGUAAAUAUUGUACAUAGACCAGUGAAUUAUGACGGUGUGUAUGAAGAUGAGAUAUUUUUAAUGUUAAAUGGAUUGUGAGAGCGCGGGCCGCGUGACCCGACGCCGCGUUUAGAUGUAAGCAGCCGAUGGAACAAAAUAAAGUGUUAUUUCUUUUA
rnacentral:misc_RNA from 1 species